rnacentral:rRNA from 1 species
AGGAUGAACGCUGGCGGCGUGCUUAACACAUGCAAGUCGAACGGUGAAAGAGAGCUUGCUCUCUGGAUCAGUGGCGAACGGGUGAGUAACACGUGAGCAAUCUGCCCUUGACUCUGGGAUAAGCGUUGGAAACGACGUCUAAUACCGGAUACGAGCUGCGAAGGCAUCUUCAGCAGCUGGAAAGAACUUCGGUCAAGGAUGAGCUCGCGGCCUAUCAGCUAGUUGGUGAGGUAAUGGCUCACCAAGGCGUCGACGGGUA